GACGUAGGUGGCAAGCGUUGUCCGGAGUUAUUGGGCGUAAAGCGCGCGCAGGCGGCCUGGUAAGUCCAUGGUGAAAGCGCCCGGCUCAACUGGGCGAGGGCCGUGGGGACUGCCCGGCUGGAGGGGAGCAGAGGCGAGUGGAAUUCCGGGUGUAGUGGUGAAAUGCGUAGAGAUCCGGAGGAACACCAGUGGCGAAGGCGGCUCGCUGGGCUCAACCUGACGCUGAGGCGCGAAAGCGUGGGGAGCGAACCGG
rnacentral:rRNA from 1 species